rnacentral:rRNA from 1 species
AACGAACGCUGGCGGCAGGCCUAACACAUGCAAGUCGAACGUGAAGCCACCUUCGGGUGGUGGAAAGUGGCAGACGGGUGAGUAACGCGUGGGAACGUGCCUUUCGGUUCGGGAUAACCCAGGGAAACUUGGGCUAAUACCGGAUACGCCCUUCGGGGAAAGGAUUCAUUGCCGAAAGAUCGGCCCGCGUCGGAUUAGCUAGUUGGUUGGGGUAAAAGGACCUACCAAGGACGACGAUCCGUAGCUGGUCUGAGAGGAUGACCAGCCACACUGGGAC